AUGAUAAGCCCGCAAGCUUCGCUUCUACAGGAAGGGCGGAAUAGUGGCCUUUCUCGGAUCCAAGUGUCGGCGACCUCCUAUGCGCCAUCCUUUCUUGCUGUUGGUGGUGCCCGUGGACGUGUCGGCUUCGUGGUCGUGGCGGCGGGGUGCGGCCAUGGCGGAGCUGGCGACCUCGUCCUCGUCCUCACUAUUGUCGUAUACAUCAUUCGCCGCCUCAUCGAUCUCCUAAAGGAGGCUUCUAACCGCCUGACGGAGGCGGUAAAGCCAACAGUCGCGGUGGAUGUCACGAGCGGAGCGAGAGGACUCGAGCAACACCUUCUGCUCGGGCAUGUCCACGUGUGGUGCGAUGGGCAUGCCAGCGGCGAGUUGCUCCUCUGCGUGUCGGUGCUCGUCGAGGAGGUGGAUGUUGUACUCCUGGUCGGCAUGCGCUUGCGAGCUCAAAUAACAUGUCAUCUCAAUUUGGUAAGGAGAAAAAGGAAAAGGAAAUUCUACAAGACGAACGACUCACUCUAG
rnacentral:rRNA from 1 species